GAUGAACGCUGGCGGCGUGCCUAAUACAUGCAAGUCGAGCGAACGGACGAGAAGCUUGCUUUUCUGAUGUUAGCGGCGGACGGGUGAGUAACACGUGGAUAACCUACCUAUAAGACUGGGAUAACUUCGGGAAACCGGAGCUAAUACCGGAUAAUAUUUUGAACCGCAUGGUUCAAAAGUGAAAGACGGUCUUGCUGUCACUUAUAGAUGGAUCCGCGCUGCAUUAGCUAGUUGGUAAGGUAACGGCUUACCAAGGCAACGAUGCAUAGCCGACCUGAGAGGGUGAUCGGCCACACUGGAACUGAGACACGGUCCAGACUCCUACGGGAGGCAGCAGUAGGGAAUCUUCCGCAAUGGGCGAAAGCCUGACGGAGCAACGCCGCGUGAGUGAUGAAGGUCUUCGGAUCGUAAAACUCUGUUAUGAGGGAAGAACAUAUGUGUAAGUAACUGUGCACAUCUUGACGGUACCUAAUCAGAAAGCCACGGCUAACUACGUG
rnacentral:rRNA from 1 species